rnacentral:rRNA from 1 species
UUAAGCGACUAAGCGUACACGGUGGAUGCCCUGGCAGUCAGAGGCGAUGAAGGACGUGCUAAUCUGCGAUAAGCGUCGGUAAGGUGAUAUGAACCGUUAUAACCGGCGAUUUCCGAAUGGGGAAACCCAGUGUGUUUCGACACACUAUCAUUAACUGAAUCCAUAGGUUAAUGAGGCGAACCGGGGGAACUGAAACAUCUAAGUACCCCGAGGAAAAGAAAUCAACCGAGAUUCCCCCAGUAGCGGCGAGCGAACGGGGAGCAGCCCAGAGCCUGAAUCAGUGUGUGUGUUAGUGGAAGCGUCUGGAAAGGCGCGCGAUACAGGGUGACAGCCCCGUACACAAAAAUGCACAUGCUGUGAGCUCGAUGAGUAGGGCGGGACACGUGGUAUCCUGUCUGAAUAUGGGGGGACCAUCCUCCAAGGCUAAAUACUCCUGACUGACCGAUAGUGAACCAGUACCGUGAGGGAAAGGCGAAAAGAACCCCGGCGAGGGGAGUGAAAAAGAACCUGAAACCGUGUACGUACAAGCAGUGGGAGCACAGAGCAAUCUGUGUGACUGCGUACCUUUUGUAUAAUGGGUCAGCGACUUAUAUUCUGUAGCAAGGUUAACCGAAUAGGGGAGCCGAAGGGAAACCGAGUCUUAACUGGGCGUUAAGUUGCAGGGUAUAGACCCGAAACCCGGUGAUCUAGCCAUGGGCAGGUUGAAGGUUGGGUAACACUAACUGGAGGACCGAACCGACUAAUGUUGAAAAAUUAGCGGAUGACUUGUGGCUGGGGGUGAAAGGCCAAUCAAACCGGGAGAUAGCUGGUUCUCCCCGAAAGCUAUUUAGGUAGCGCCUCGUGAAUUCAUCUCCGGGGGUAGAGCACUGUUUCGGCAAGGGGGUCAUCCCGACUUACCAACCCGAUGCAAACUACGAAUACCGGAGAAUGUUAUCACGGGAGACACACGGCGGGUGCUAACGUCCGUCGUGAAGAGGGAAACAACCCAGACCGCCAGCUAAGGUCCCAAAGUCAUGGUUAAGUGGGAAACGAUGUGGGAAGGCCCAGACAGCCAGGAUGUUGGCUUAGAAGCAGCCAUCAUUUAAAGAAAGCGUAAUAGCUCACUGGUCGAGUCGGCCUGCGCGGAAGAUGUAACGGGGCUAAACCAUGCACCGAAGCUGCGGCAGCGACGCUGAUGCGUUGUUGGGUAGGGGAGCGUUCUGUAAGCCUGCGAAGGUGUGCUGUGAGGCAUGCUGGAGGUAUCAGAAGUGCGAAUGCUGACAUAAGUAACGAUAAAGCGGGUGAAAAGCCCGCUCGCCGGAAGACCAAGGGUUCCUGUCCAACGUUAAUCGGGGCAGGGUGAGUCGACCCCUAAGGCGAGGCCGAAAGGCGUAGUCGAUGGGAAACAGAUUAAUAUUCCUGUACUUGGUGUUACUGCGAAGGGGGGACGGAGAAGGCUAUGUUGGCCGGGCGACGGUUGUCCCGGUUUAAGCGUGUAGGCUGGUUUUCCAGGCAAAUCCGGAAAAUCAAGGCUGAGGCGUGAUGACGAGGCACUACGGUGCUGAAGCAACAAAUGCCCUGCUUCCAGGAAAAGCCUCUAAGCAUCAGGUAACAUCAAAUCGUACCCCAAACCGACACAGGUGGUCAGGUAGAGAAUACCAAGGCGCUUGAGAGAACUCGGGUGAAGGAACUAGGCAAAAUGGUGCCGUAACUUCGGGAGAAGGCACGCUGAUAUGUAGGUGAAGUCCCUCGCGGAUGGAGCUGAAAUCAGUCGAAGAUACCAGCUGGCUGCAACUGUUUAUUAAAAACACAGCACUGUGCAAACACGAAAGUGGACGUAUACGGUGUGACGCCUGCCCGGUGCCGGAAGGUUAAUUGAUGGGGUUAGCGCAAGCGAAGCUCUUGAUCGAAGCCCCGGUAAACGGCGGCCGUAACUAUAACGGUCCUAAGGUAGCGAAAUUCCUUGUCGGGUAAGUUCCGACCUGCACGAAUGGCGUAAUGAUGGCCAGGCUGUCUCCACCCGAGACUCAGUGAAAUUGAACUCGCUGUGAAGAUGCAGUGUACCCGCGGCAAGACGGAAAGACCCCGUGAACCUUUACUAUAGCUUGACACUGAACAUUGAGCCUUGAUGUGUAGGAUAGGUGGGAGGCUUUGAAGUGUGGACGCCAGUCUGCAUGGAGCCGACCUUGAAAUACCACCCUUUAAUGUUUGAUGUUCUAACGUGGACCCGUAAUCCGGGUUGCGGACAGUGUCUGGUGGGUAGUUUGACUGGGGCGGUCUCCUCCUAAAGAGUAACGGAGGAGCACGAAGGUUGGCUAAUCCUGGUCGGACAUCAGGAGGUUAGUGCAAUGGCAUAAGCCAGCUUGACUGCGAGCGUGACGGCGCGAGCAGGUGCGAAAGCAGGUCAUAGUGAUCCGGUGGUUCUGAAUGGAAGGGCCAUCGCUCAACGGAUAAAAGGUACUCCGGGGAUAACAGGCUGAUACCGCCCAAGAGUUCAUAUCGACGGCGGUGUUUGGCACCUCGAUGUCGGCUCAUCACAUCCUGGGGCUGAAGUAGGUCCCAAGGGUAUGGCUGUUCGCCAUUUAAAGUGGUACGCGAGCUGGGUUUAGAACGUCGUGAGACAGUUCGGUCCCUAUCUGCCGUGGGCGCUGGAGAAUUGAGGGGGGCUGCUCCUAGUACGAGAGGACCGGAGUGGACGCAUCACUGGUGUUCGGGUUGUCAUGCCAAUGGCACUGCCCGGUAGCUAAAUGCGGAAGAGAUAAGUGCUGAAAGCAUCUAAGCACGAAACUUGCCCCGAGAUGAGUUCUCCCUGACUCCUUGAGAGUCCUGAAGGAACGUUGAAGACGACGACGUUGAUAGGCCGGGUGUGUAAGCGCAGCGAUGCGUUGAGCUAACCGGUACUAAUGAACCGUGAGGCUUAACCUU